rnacentral:ncRNA from 1 species
CUUAUCAAGAGCGGUGGAGGGAACGGCCCUGUGAAGCCCGGCAACCUGCAGAACCUGCAAGGUGCCAAAUCCGGCGGUGAGACGAAAGAUGAG